rnacentral:rRNA from 1 species
GAUGAACGCUAGCUACAGGCUUAACACAUGCAAGUCGAGGGGAAACGAUAGAGAAAGCUUGCUUUUCUAGGCGUCGACCGGCGCACGGGUGAGUAACGCGUAUCCAACCUGCCCAUCACUUGGGGAUAACCUUGCGAAAGUAAGACUAAUACCCAAUGACGUCUCUAGAAGACAUCUGAAAAGAGAUUAAAAGAUUUAUCGGUGAUGGAUGGGGAUGCGUCUGAUUAGCUUGUUGGCGGGGUAACGGCCCACCAAGGCGACGAUCAGUAGGGGUUCUGAGAGGAAGGUCCCCCANAUUGGAACUGAGACACGGUCCAAAACUCCUACGGGAGGCAGCAGUGAGGAAUAUUGGUCAAUGGACGAGAGUCUGAACCAGCCAAGUAGCGUGCAGGAUGACGGCCCUAUGGGUUGUAAACUGCUUUUAUAAGGGAAUAAAGUGAGUCUCGUGAGACUUUUUGCAUGUACCUUAUGAAUAAGGACCGGCUAAAUUCCGUGCCAGCAGCCGACGG